GAUGAAGAACGUAGCGAAAUGCGAUAAGUAGUGUGAAUUGCAGAAUUCCGUGAAUCAUCGAAUCUUUGAACGCACAUUGCGCCUUCUGGUAUUCCGGAAGGCAUGCCUGUUCGAGAGUCAUUAACAACCGUUUCGAUCCCUUUCUUUCAGAAAUUACAAAGAGGAAAAGGGUUUGGGUAUGGUGGAGGAGGGAAAGGGAGCGUUUAGCCUGUAAAAAAAGAGGCUGUGUUCCGCCUCCCCCCCAAAAUUGUACAGGCGGUCGUGUGCGCCCACGCAUCGAGGUGUUGUAAAAGCUGCCACGGCACUUUUCACCUGUGCAGUGCGAGAUUGGCCAGCCGGUUUAAAAACCCCUCCAAACAAUCAAAGGUUGACCUCGGAUCAGGUAGGGAUACCCGCUGAACUUAAGCAUAUCAAUAAGCGGAGGA
rnacentral:misc_RNA from 1 species